rnacentral:misc_RNA from 1 species
AAUUCCCGGUGAGGCAAAAAGCGAAGGAACAGAGAGGAGUGGGGGCCAGGAGUUUCUGCGCUUGAGCAAGUGCACCAGAGAGGCAGAGCCAGUACACUACGGCGAUGCGCCCUUUACAGCAGUUAACAGUUGACGCCUUGCGGGACAGGUUGGCGACCCCCUGCGCGGCGAUUGCCGACCACCGGGAUCCGCGCCGCAGCACCGGGGAAUGACCCGCGGUACUCAUGAGUGCGGUUGCCCUGCUUUUCUUUCAACCUCCGAGUCUGUUG